CCAAUGAAUUCUAUUUCAGUUUUGGCCUCUGGUUCUAAGAGAUCUGGACUGUUUUCUUAUUAUUUCUUGAAAUAUGAUGUCUAGAUUCAUUUUUUGAUCACAGCUUUCGGGUUAUCAGAUGAUUCUUAAAAUUUUUUUCUCCUAAUCUGUUUUCUAGGUUACUUGUUUUUGUUUUUUGGACUUUGUUUUUAAUGUUUUUUUGCCUCAUGAUGUCUUUAUUUUCUAUGUGACCCAUUCUAGUAUUCAGGGAGUUUGUGAUUGGAUAAGGUUUUAAAUCUCUUAUACAAAGCUAUUAAUUACUUUUGUAAUUCUUCUAUAAUUCUUAAAAAUGUUUUUCCUUUGGUAUUCUCUUUUCGUUUAUAAAUAACAUUUUAAAAUUCUUUCUUCAUCUCUCUUAGGAAAUUGAAUAGAAUUUGUGCUGAGAGGGUUUGCUCAUAGAUGUUUUGGAGUCAUUCUUUUUUUAUACAUUGUAACUGGACAAUGAACUGGCUCUAAUCACAGGAGAUCAGGCUGGAAUCACAUUUCGGAAAAUGUGCAAUACUUUCAAGAAUCCCAAGCUAACUAUUGCUGUAAAAGAACACCUUUCAUUCUCCCAAGACCUGAAGCUUCUGAUUGGUGAAAUUUGCUAUUGAGAUGAAAUUUCUUGGGACUGUAACUAAUAAUUUGGAUAAUUGCCUGAUGGAUCAUUAAGUCAGUAACCCACUAUUCCAGAGAAAUGCCAUAAGUUACUCAGGUGGGUGUCUUAUCUGGGCAAGAGUUGGGAGGACAACUUUAGCCUCUACUUACAGUGGGAUCCCUUUGACUCAGUUUCCCAGAAUCUGGCUAUGAGAUGGAAACUGCAUGAUUGGUUGUCAGAGCUAAGAAUGCUUUACCCUGAGAUGUAUGUAUCCUCACAUUGAGGCCCUGAAGAAUCAGUUUUUGACUGAUUAUAUUAUAAUAUAAUAUAAUAUCAUGCUUUUUCCUCUUAUAGCAAAUUUCUGUAAUCACACAAGUGGUCAAUGGAAGAUAUAAGGCACAAUACUAGUAUGUAGAUGAUAUCUUGAUCCACAGCCCACCCCUGGAGGCUUCUCAGGCUACAGCCAUAAAACCUUUAACUUUCUUGCUUCCUGAGACAAGAGUUUCUUUGUCUGAAGGCCCACUUUGUCCAAGUAUUUGGGCCACCUCUCACUUCCCUCUUGCUCAUGGGAAGAAGAAGCACACAGUCUUAGCACACCCUGAUCAGGCCAAGGUUUUUAGAACCUUGAAAGCUAAACUAACCUCUUACCUGGGCCUUAGCCCUACCUAAAACCUUUUACAUUGUACCCUGAGGGAAAGUGGGGCCAGGUCCUAGAGGUUUCUGGGACCCUAUCCUAGGCCCUUUAUUUACUUCUCAAAUAAACUCGAUGUCUUUGGGGAUGACUCUCCUGCCUUAGAGCUAUCUGCCACAGCCUAAUUGAGGAAACUCCUAAGCUCAUCCUGAGCCAAUUGUUGGAGAUUCUAGCCCCCUUACAAAUGCUUUAGAGCAUUUUUGCCUAUAUCAGAAUUGGGGAAAGGAAUGAGAGUGAACAUCUAUACUGACUCCAACAUGUU